CUGAAGUCAAAGAGUUCCAAGCUUGUAGCCAACAUUAGACUAGUAACAAUGUACGCUGGCCAUCUAGUCCAGUAAAGUCCAGAAUUUCGAUUUGACCAGGAGUAGUAAUACCACAGUAUAUUUUGGACUAAACCUACUGCGACGUUUGCUUUCAUAUUAUAACCAUAAUCGAAGGAAUAAAAAGAAAGAUAACUUACAUGGGCAAUAAAGGCAGCUAUGAAGAUAACGCCUAUUAUCCAACACAAAAGUUUUCCCCCCGGUAAUUGAUCCAGUCUCAGCAUCAAUAUUAAGGUACAAUAAGAACCAAAAAGAACAAAAGCGCCGGCAGAGAAAUAAUCGAGUUUUUCGGUAAUAGGCGUAUCACGAAUGUGAAAUACACUGCUCCAAACCCAAGCAUUCAUUCCUACAAUAGCCCAGCUUAAGCACAAUCGCUUAGCUGGAUGCUCAUCUGGAAUACACCUGCGCAUUAUAUGGUAACCAUUGUAAUGGAUCAUAAAGUUGAGCAUUGAAAAGAAGACACUGAAAAGCUCUUGAAUACCAAAAACUCGUAUAAAGUACCAUUUUCCAUGGUAUUGUUGCGAAGGUAAAUUAUGAGCGGCAAAAUAAUUUUCCGCAGUUAUUUCACAUUCAUAUCCGCAGUUACUACCGCAAUCCCAUCGAAAGAGCUUCAAGUCCAGCGGAAGUUUUGACGUAUCUGAUGGGUUUCCGUGACAUUUAUUUUCGAUGCACCUAUUUACACAAGAAACGUAUACGGGAUGUAGGUCUCCUGCACUAGCUGAAAUCUGCCGGAAAAGGCUUAAUGCAGUGAAAAGAAAAAAGAUUGUAAAGUUCCUCAAAACUCUCAUAACAAUAGAAUAAAUAGUAUACCAAAAACGAAAAGUUUAUAAUCAGGUUCUUCAGGUAACAGCUAGUACAUGGAGGUCAUGGACAGGAGUGCUUUGAGCACAGACCGGUUGAAUAGAUAUAUUCACCCAUAAGGAGUAACAAUGUAACUCGACGUUCUCAACAAAAUAAAUCUAAAUGAAUGAAUUGCUUAUUUCAAGCUUGUUUAAACAAAUUUCAUCACUUAAAAUUGUAGAGAAAACGGUGGAUAUCACUCACAAAAAAUGCCUUUUUUUUUUGAAAAUCGCGUUGUUAGUUAAAAUGCCAGGAAGAUGUAAGACACUCGGCAGCUCUGGCAUAACAAUUUAGAAAAAUAAAUAAGAAUAAUGAUU